UGCCCAUCUUUCCAACGCAACGCAGCCUGCGACGUCGCUCCCAUGGCAACUGAAGAGUUCGCACCAGCCGGCUGGUCUCAGAGCUUGCUGGCGUCUUGGUUUCAAGGUGGCCUCUAACGCUGAGCCCACGACGCUGGCGCGGUCGAGCCACGAUGCCCAGUGAAACUCUCUGGGAAAUUGCAAAAGCCGAAGUGGAAAAACAUGGAAGUAGUGGAGGUGAUGGUGAUGGGCUUGAAAUUGGAGAAAAAUCUGUUUUCUUCAUUGGCAGUAAAAAUGGGGGAAAGACUACUAUUAUUCUAAGGUGUCUUGACAGGGAUGAGCCACCAAAACCAACAUUAGCUUUGGAAUAUACAUAUGGAAGAAGAGCAAAAGGGCAUAAUAUACCGAAAGAUAUUGCUCACUUCUGGGAACUAGGUGGAGGAACGUCUUUAUUGGACUUAAUCAGCAUCCCCAUCACAAGUGAUACCUUACGGACAUUUUCUCUUGUUCUUGUUUUGGAUCUUUCGAAACCUAAUGACCUUUGGCCCACCAUGGAAAAUCUGUUGCAAGCCACAAAAAGCCAUGUGGAUAAAAUGAUAAUGAAACUGGGCAAGACCAAUUCUAAAGCAGCUUCUGAAAUGAGACAGAAGAUAUGGAGUAAUAUGCAGAAGGACCAUCCAGAUCGUGAAUUAAUCGACCCAUUUCUAAUACCUCUGGUCAUAAUUGGAAGUAAAUACGAUAUUUUUCAGGAUUUUGACUCUGAGAAGAGGAAGGUUAUAUGCAAGACCCUUCGAUUUGUUGCACAUUAUUAUGGAGCAUCAUUAAUGUUUACCAGUAAAUCAGAAGCUCUAUUACUAAAAAUACGUGGAGUUAUCAACCAGUUAGCAUUUGGCAUUAACAAAAGCAAAUCAAUAUGUGUGGAUCAGAAUAAACCACUGUUUAUCACAGCAGGAUUGGAUUCUUUAAGUCAAAUAGGAUCUCCUCCUGUUCCUGAUAAUGAUAUUGGAAAACUUCAUGCCCAUUCACCAAUGGAGUUGUGGAAGAAAGUGUAUGAAAGGGUCUUUCCACCAAAGAGUAUCAACACACUAAAAGAUAUCAAGGACCCUGCAAGAGACCCUCAGUAUGCGGAAAGUGAAGUUGAUGAAAUGAGAAUUCAGAAGGAUCAGGAACUGGAACAAUACAAAAGAAGUUCUUCCAAGUCUUGGAAACAAAUUGAGCUUGAUUCUUGAACCUCAUUCAACUAUACUGUAUUUAUUUCUUCUCCCCCCCCACCAAAAGUAACAUAAGGAAUAAUAUGGAAGACAUCGGGAGAUGGAGAGAAGUGAGUUGAGAGAAGUCGGAGGGGGAGACAAACCAUGAGACACUGUGAACUCCGAGAAACAAACUGAGGGUUUUGGAAAGGGGGGUGGGGAGGUGAGCCUGGUGGUGAGUAUUAUGGAAGGCACAAAUUGCAUGGAGCACUGGGUGUGAUGCAUAAACAAUGAAUUUUGGAAGACUGAAAAAAAUUAAAAAGAACUAUGUAGUAUUUCCAAAGAAACUGGAUCCCCAGUCUAAAGAACCUCAGUGAUGUCCGUUCCACACAAACCCCUUUCCAAAUGGAGACUGUAAAAAAAGGACUGAAAAUGUCUGCAGACCCAUGGAAGACACCCAGGCAGCAGCUAGUAGCAGUUCUGGGUCCCACUUACUGGGAUCCUGGAGGAGCUGGGCUGCAAUGGAGACCCGGCGCCGCUCGCCAUUGGAAAUUCCCCCAAGAUUGCAGGUGCCAAUCAGUCGAUCUGCCACAUGGCUCAGACUCAAUUCCACCAUAACUGCGUCCACCUUCAGGAAACACAAAUCCAGGAAGGCUGGUCAUUGCUGGGCUAUUGCUCCAAUUCAUGGAGUUCUGAUGGCAUGGGAGAGGCAACAUACUUCCCUUGAGUGCUCGGGCCACUUUCAGACUCACCACACACUAGGGAAAACAUGCCUACUAUGAUAAAAUCCAAUUUGCUCUAAGUCAUAAUAUAGUACAUGUGUCAGGUUAAAAUAAAUUAAUAUAACUGUUUUUUCAAAAGUCUCUAGAGCAGCAAAAACUAUAUUCAUUUCAGGGAAAUUCACCAGGAAACAAGGAAAGGUCACUGGACUCAUAUUUUCAGAUGCUGCAUUAAGUCCAGCAUACAGAAAAAUCCCCUAAAGGCAUAGGGACAAUGCAGUUUCUUUUAAUGUUUGGUUUUUGAAAUUUUAUUGUGUUUUUUUUUUAAGAUUUUAUUUAUUUGACAGAGAUCACAAGUAGGCAGAGGCAGGCAGAGAGAGAGAAGGGGAAGCAGGCUCCCUGCUGAGUAGAGAGCCUAAUGUGGGGCUCAAUCCCAAAGCCCCCCGGAUCAUGACCUGAGCCGAAGGCAGAGGCUUUAACCCACUGAGCCACCCAGGCGCCCCUGAAAUUUUAUUGUGUUUUAUAUGUGUUAAAAAAAAAAAAAAAAAAAAAAGUCCUGAUUUGGUUUGAACGAACCUUGGCUACCUUAUGUAACCCAAAUAAGUCCUGGAGUCCUGUGUGGUCCAAUCUCAGUGUGAUUUUGCAUCAAAUAUAAUCAAGCUACCAAAAGUAAUUAAAAAUGAUGCCAAUAUUUAUUUUACUCUCAUUAAAAAUUUUCCAGGGGACCCAGUUUAUAACCUGCAUCCACACUUAAUAUCCUGUCCCACAGUUCUCCUCGCUGUAUUUAUCUUGGACUCUGCCGCACCCUGAAACCAUCUCCUUAGUCUUCCUCAACUCCCCUACAACAAUAACAACUAGAAAAGUUCUUGACUGACUUUCUAAUCAAGAAAGUUGGGCUUUCUCUUCCCCUCCUUCUUUCCUUCCUCAGCUUAGCCCAUCUCCAGAGACCCUUUCAAAAAUCUCUACUUCUGACCCUGCCUUGCUGAUUACCCCUAUCUGCAUAGGGCCCUGGGGAAAGCAGCUAGAAACAGACUGAAAAUACUUAUAUAUAUGGUAGUGAGUUUGAUUCCCAUAUACCUCUAAUGAGAUUGUGUUACUUUUAUAAUGAAAAAAGAAACAAAACACUGCAUAAAAAAUAACAACAAAUAGGCUGGAGUAAAAGAGGGGAUGAUCUGUGGGACAAAGUUCCCGUGGAGCCAGGGGAUGAGAUCAGCAGCAUGGAGGAAAGGUUUGACCAAAAGAAGGAACACAUAUGAAAUAAACCUAAAGGAAUAACGAGGUUAAAAUGCAUAAAUAAACCAGUAUGAUUUAUUCUGGAAAAAAGAAGGUCCUCCUUUUGCCAUCAGAAUUGAAGGAUUCUGGAAUUGAGUUUUGCUUGGUAUAGCCAGGUUGAGGUGCUCACCAGCCAGGGCAGAUUCCUGAGCAUCCCUUUCAUCUGCUCUGCAACUCCAAGAAAGGAGUAAAGCUUGCCCCUCCCGGCUCGGAAGGGAUGGACAUGUAUUUAACCUGUUUCACAGGACCCAAAGCCUUUCCCGUGUUUAGCAAACGUUGCGAAACUACUGGGGAUGGAAUGUACAGUGUCUUAGAAGAAACCCUUGGGAUCAUUGGGAUGCACUGGGAUCAUCAACCUCUACGCUGUAUGUUCUCAGAUAAAACUGACUCAUUCCUCACAUCAACUCCAAGAGAGACACAUUAUUAUCUAUUUAUUACAGAGGAGAAGAUAGAUCCUCAGAGAGGUGCAUAAUUUGCCCGAGGUCAAACUAUUUUGCCUGAGGUCAGACUGUUAGCAAGUGGCAGAGCUGGGGCUGAAAGACCUGUCUGUGUUCUCUCAAAUGGUCCAUGAAGCUCAAGGAUUUGCCAACAGUCCAGCAGACACAGCCUGCCCAUGUCAAGCACAGCUUUAUGUUCAGGUUCCUCAGAGGAGAGAUCAGCUGUGCUCUGUCCUGUAUUAUCACCACCACUUCCUUCUCACUAAAUUACUUUAUCAGGAUUUUAUACCCUAUGGACUAGAUUUGCUCAGAAAGUACUUUCCAGCAGAGAGAACUUUCACAGGACUUUGAGGGACUGCCAGUGCCAGAGGAACAUUUACUGGAGGGAUUUUUUUUUUUUUUUUUAAAGAUUUGAGAGAAAGAGCACAAGCAAGGGAGCAGCAGAGGGAAAGGGAGAAGCAGGGUCCCUGCUGAGCAGGGAGCUCGAUGUGGGGCUGGAUCCCAGGACCCUGAAAUCACAACCUGAGCUGAAGGCAGAUGCUUAACUGACUGAGCCACCCAGGCACCCUCAGGGGGAAAGUUUUUUGCCAUCAAUCGAUUUCAAGGCAUCCAUGAAUUUUCUGAAUAUUUAUGUGAGCAUGAGCAUUUUCUGGAGACGAGCUCAGUGGCAUUCUUAGUUUCACUCUUUCUGUGGGAUAUGUGAUAUAAGUGGAUCACCAACUCAGAAGCAUCUGUUUAUGAUGGCAUUCCUGCCACCCAAAUACAAAUAGGAUCUUCUCCUGCCCCUUUUAGAGACAGAAAUACUAAAGCAAGCAGAAAGUCUGCAGAUGAACUCCUCUAUCACUCACAGUCAGGGCUACUGUGAACAUGCCUGUACUUCAAUGUGGGCUGAAGACAACCUCCAUUUCCUCUCAUCGCAAUGGGAUUCAGGAGAUCCCAGAGCUCAGGAAGACAUGAUGGGAGCUAGAGGGCCUGGGUUCGCAUUCCAGCUCUGCCCUUCCCAACUGUCUGAUCUUAAUCUCGUAUUUCAGGAGAUAUGCCUCCCACAUAGGGUUGAUGCCAGGAUACGGUGAAAUACUGUACAUGAGCAAAGCCUGACUGAUGCCAGCCAACUAGGAGAGUUCAGAGUACACACACACCUUGUUUAAUUGCACUUUACUUUACUGCAUUCACAGAUAACGCAUUCUCUACGAACUGAUGGUUUGUACCAACCCUGUACUAAACAAGUCUACUCACCCCAUUUUUUCAAUAGGAUUUGCUCACUUCAUGUCUGUGUCAGUAAAGUAUUUUUAAAUUAAAGUAAGUAUAUUGGGUUUUGGGUCACCUGGGUGGCUCAGUGGGUUAUGCAUGAUCUUCAGCUCAGGUCAUGAUCUCAGGGUCCUGGGAUCAAGCCCCACAUGGGGUUCUCUACUCAGCAGGGAGCCUGCUUCUCCCUCUCUCUCUGCCUGCUGCUCUAUCUGUGAUCUCUGUGAAAUAAAUAAAAAUUUUUAAAGAAAAAAAAUUUUUAAGUAUAUUGGGUUUCUUUUAGACAUAAUGCUACUGUACACCUCACAGACUGGAGUAUUAGUAUAAAUGUAACUUAUAUGCACUGGGAAACCAAAAAACUCAUCGGACUUUAUUUUGAUAUUUGCUUUGUUGCAGUGGUCUGGAGCCAAACCUGUAGUAUCUCUGAGGUAUGCCUGUAUAACCCAGUUGAAUGGUAAGAGCCUUGCAAUGCCUUCUGAGCACUCUACGGUAACCUCCAGGAAGGAAUGAGAGCUAGGCAUCCCUGUGAGGCUGAUGGUCUUUCUUGAGGGCCACACUCCUUGCUAAGACUCCUCUGGAAUAAAAGCUAUCCUUCAGCACUGUCUAGGACUCUCAAACAAAAAAAUGCCCUUUACCCACCUGGGCAUUAUAUCAAACAAAUCUUCUGGUACUUGGGACACAGCUUAGACCUAAUAUCACUCUCCAAGCCCUGUCUUAAAGUCCAGUGCCAAGGACAGAUUGAGCAAGUCCCUAGUGACAGACGCUGCAAUGCCUGAUAAAAAUGGUGUACCCUCAGCUGAUAUGGACGACUUCCUUGGAGCCUCAAUGGCAUUAAAAAAGGCCGGCCUGGAGCCUGAACUGCAGAUAUAAUUUGUGUGCCCACGUGGAGCCUCACCACUGUGGCUUCGCUGAAGCCUCUGAGGCUGAUGUUGCUGGUCUCCCCCCGUGACUCUGAGGGUUCCCCAGGGAACUGUACCUGCUUUGGAAGUGGCACAUCUCUGUAUCCUUAGUUCCCUGUUUUCAGUCCAGACAGAAAUGAGGCAACAAUUCCAGGUAAGGUCCCCACAGGCUUACCUAUGACUACUGCCAAAUUAGAUACAUUUAAAGCAAUAGAUUGAAUCCUCAGAAGAGGAGACAAGUCAAUAGUUACUUCCUUUGUUAACUUAAUCUAGUUUGGAUGAGACACAUUCAAAAGGCCUCAAAGAAAGUUGAGAAAAAUCUCAAUAGGGCAAAGUACAGUGAGGAAAACAACCAUUAUUAUUCAAACACAGAGCUCCUAAAACAGCACCAUCUAAUAGAAAUAUAAUAUAAGCCACAUAGAAUUUAAAUAUUUUAGUAGUCACAUUUUAAAAAGAAACAAGUGAAAUUAAUUUUAAUAUAUUUAACCUGGUGCAGCCAAAAUACACCAUUUCAAACUUGUUAACCAAUAUUGUUUUAUGAGAUGUAGCAAAUGCAAUUUUAAUUAGGGAUGUAAUUAAAUGCAAUUUAUUUAUUUAGUUUUUUUUUAUUUCAAUCUUUUAUUAUUAUUAUUAAUAAUUUAUUUAUUUUCAGAAAAACAGUAUUAUUUUUUCACCACACCAGUGCUCCAUGCAAUCCGUGCCCUCUAUAAUACCCACCACCUGGUACCCUAACCUCCCACCACCCCGCCACUUCAAACCCCUCAGGUUGUUUUUCAGAGUCCAUAGUCUCUCAUGAUUCACCUCCCCUUCCAAUUUACCCCAACUUUUAAAAAUUAAUAAGAUAUUUCACAUUCUCUUUUUUCAGACUAAGUUUCUAAAAUUCUGUGUGUACUUCCCAUUCAUAGCACAUCUCAGGCCCAGCCACGUGUCAAGCGCUCAAAGCCACAGGUGACCAGUGGCUGCCAUACUGGACAACACAGGUCUAGACUAAAGGGAUGAAGACUGAAGGGGAGAAAUGGGCAAGUAGACAGAAGCAGGAGUGUGAAGCCCCAUAGGCUGAUACCCUAAGAGGGCCGCAGGAGGCCCAAGGCUACCCACCUUUCUCUGGAAAAACCCCGGGGAGCCCUGGCGCACAGCCAGCAGUGCCGCAUAGCGUAGAGUCUCCCGCACGGUCAGGUUGCUCAGCAGUGUGUCACUCUGCGAGAGAGGGAGGCAGGAGGCAUCAGCAUGGCUGAGACCGGGCUGUGGGUGGCUGUGGCAGGGUCCCCAGAAAGCACCCACCUGCUGGACAUAGGAGAAGCAGUCCUGGAACUGCUCCCUGCGCAAUGGCUGGCCGUUAACAAACACGUCCCCAAGGAAGGUCCCUGUGCGCCGCAGCCUCCCGGACAUGGCAUCCAGCAGCGUGGUUUUCCCUGAGCCUGUGAGACAAGAAAAUAAGGCCAGAGAGGACUCCCUCCAUGAGGCAUUGCUGGGCUGUCCCCAGAUACUCAGUUGGUCUAGCACCAACUUGCUCUUUCCUAACCCCCCUGGGUCAAACUCUACCAAUGAGCCUUUCUGGCUUGUCUCCUGAGUCAGAGAGGGACAAGCCAGUCAGGACUGGAGGAACUUUGCCUGUUUAUGGGUUUUUACAGCUGUUUUGAGUUGAAAAAGAAAAUAUAGGCAGUUUCUUUCCCCUGGUUUGGUUUUUCUUGGGUCAGAAAUUAGGUGAUACCAUUAGGACAAGGCACCAGCCAGUCCCUUCUGUUCAUAGUGGACACAAACCUACAUGAGCCCAGAGUGUCAAUGGAGACAGGAACCAGCAUUGGCAGGCUACUAAAAAGUUAAAUUAACAGAGGAAAUAGGCAGAAGGUUCUGAACUGUCUGAAAAGAUAGCAAGAGAAUUCUACCAAGGAUAUGAUGACUUGUGCAAAACGAAGAGAAGAUCUUUUGUUCAAAUAUUAUAAAGAAACUGCCUCUUGCCAUGAGGGAUACAAAGAUGAAGCCAAGCUCCUAUGCAGUGGUUUUCUUAACUAACCCAUGGCUGACCAAGCUCAGGUUUAGCUCCAGCAUCUUCAACAGGGUGGGAAGAGAGGAGGGGGACUGUAAAGAAAUGAAAUGUGGUAUCAUUCGAGCUGUCUUUCAAAACAUGUUCUGAAACUUCCUGGUCAUUAUCCUAGGCCUUGUAUGUGGUUCUGAAUAGAAUCUUCCUUGCCUUCCCUUUCUGGGAUCCAAUCUCCACUCUGACGAAAGGUCCAAAUGUCCUGGAGCCUGGAUCCCCUCACAAUAUCAAAACUGACCUGGCUGAGGUCAUCAAGGUUGCUUCCUUGUUGCCACAUCUGGUGGGCACCUUCCUGUGUGCUGACCUCUCAACAGCAUUUAUACCAUUGCUUGCCUUUCUCUGUAAAACUCUGUCCUCUGGCUUUGAUGCUACUUCAUCCUCUUGGUUUUAUCCCUCUGUUCUGGCUGCUUCUUCCCAGCAUCCUCUGGGUGACACUCAGGGUUCUUUCUUAGGCCUUCUGGUUCCCAUGUGACACAUUCUCACUGAGCAACAGAGCCCCAACUUGCUAGCCAGCAUGCAAGGGAGACACCUUGGAGGUAGAUUCUCCAGCCCUGCUCAAGCCUUCAGAUGACUAUAGCCCAGCAGACUUCUCACUACUACCUCAAGAGAUACCCCAGAUAGAACUAUCCAACAACAUCACUUCCAAAUUUCUGACUCAUAGAAAUCCUGAGAGGUAAUAAUGAUUUUUAUUGUUUUAAGCCACUUAGUUCUGGGAUGCUUUUGACAUAGACACAGAUGGCUUGGGGCGCCUAGGUGGGUCAGUCAGUCAAGUGUCCACUCUUGAUUUUUGGCUCAGGUCGUGACCUCGGGGUUGUGAAAUCAAGCUGUGUGUUGGGCUUGUGCUCCACACACAAUCUUCUUGUCUCUCUCCCUCUGAUCCUCUCCCCACUGUGCACACUCUCUUGCUCUCUACAAUAAAUAAAACCUUAAAAAAAAAAA